rnacentral:rRNA from 1 species
AAACAUGUCUUUUUGAAAUUUUUUUAAAGUCUAAUCUGCCCACUGAAUAAUUUUAAAUGGCCGCAGUAUCCUAACUGGCAAAGGUAGCAUAAUCAUUAGUCUUUUAAUUGGRGGCUGGUAUGAAUGAUUGGACGAGGUAUUAACUGUUUCAAGUAAAUUUACAAUAGAAUUUUAUUUUUUAGUCAAAAAGCUAAAAUUUAAUUAAAAGACGAGAAGACCCUAUAAAUCUUUACUAAAUUUUUUAUUUUAAUUAUAAAGAUAAAUUUUAUUAUAAUAAAAAAUUUAGUUUUAUUGGGGUGAUAUUAAAAUUUAAUGAACUUUUAAGUUUUAAAAACAUAAAUUUAGGAUAAUUGAYCCAGUAUUAGUGAUUAAAAA